rnacentral:rRNA from 1 species
AUGUUUGGGCCAUAUAUUUUGCAGAUUAUCCCAUGCUGCAACAGGCGAGUGUUUGGUGCAUGUAUUGAGCAUCUGCAGUCCAUUGCCGCCAGAGAGAAUAAGCCCAUGUGUAAGACAAUCUUUGUAACCAGAGAACUACUGGAGUACGAAGUCAAGCUUGAUCAUGGAGCUAAGAAGACCAGGAUUCACGGUGUUGGCUGGCGUAUGUUUAUUGAUGCGUAUGUAGUGCGGCCUGGCGACAUGGUAUAUAUAUGCCUCUCCCUAAGAAAUGGACGGUUUUUUGUGGAUGUCGAGAGGGAUGGCGUGAGGCAGACGCCACUUCCUUAUCUUGGUAUUAUACACGACCAUCACCCACAUCCGUUCAUUCCAUCAUCUGGUAUUAUACAACAUGUGCCCGGCACAUGUGCCUGCAUAUCUUGUACUCGGGAUGUAAUGUUCUCAGUUGUACCCCGUCCAUGCCUCGCUUCUUGUAGCUUGUACAUGGCACCUGGAUGA